UCGAUGGAGUCAACCAUAUCCAAGACUCUCUCUCUCUCUCUCUCUCUCUCUCUAUAUAUCCUCAUCUCCCUCCUCCGUCAAUCCCUUCGUCUCCUCCGGCUCUCGCAAGGUUCCGCUUGCAGGAAUGACUUGUGGGGGAUGUGCAGCGAGCUUGAAGAGAUUUCUGGAAUAUCAAGUAUCCGCCGCAAGGGUCAAUCUUACAACUGAGACAGCAAUUGUAUGGCUUGUUUCUGAAGCCAAAGCUAUACCUAAUUGGCAGGAGUUGGCGAUAAACACUUGCAAAAAACUCACACAAAUUGUGGCUUAAGUCUAAGCAUGGUUUGCUCUAAACAUUGGACAGCCACAAGUAUCUGCCACCAGCGUCAAUCUGACAACCAGGAUAGCAGUUGUACGGCCAGUAUCUGAAGCCAAGGAUGGCAAAAAGUGUUGGGAGAAACACUUGCAGAAGACUUGACAAAUUUUGCCUUUAUGUCUAACCCUCGACGGGGUGGUUGACAAGUUCUCUGGAUGCUCUCGUGGAUUUGGUUAUGAGAAGCAAGCAAUGGAUGAGGCUAUUGAGGAAAUGAAUGGACUUAUCAUUGAGGAAAAAGUUCAGCCUCAAGGUUCAGGUAGUGGCUGAGAUGGUGAUCGCAGUCGUGAUUGUGGUCAUGAUUGUGGCCCCAAUCGGGACUAUGGUGGUGGACAUGGAUGUGGAGGUGGAGAGUGCUUUAAGUGUGACAAGCCUGGGCAUUUUGCAAGGGAGUGUCCUCAUGAAGGGGGCU